rnacentral:rRNA from 1 species
AACGAACGCUGGCGGCAGGCUUAACACAUGCAAGUCGAGCGCCCCGCAAGGGGAGCGGCAGACGGGAGAGUAACGCGGGGGAACGUACUCUUCACUACGGAAUAUCUCCGGGAAACGGGAAUUAAUACCGUAUGUGCCCUUCGGGGGAAAGAUUUAUCGGUAAAGGAUCGGCCCGCGUUGGAUUAGCUAGUUGGUGGGGUAAAGGCCUACCAAGGCGACGAUCCAUAGCUGGUCUGAGAGGAUGAUCAGCCACAUUGGGACUGAGACACGGCCCAAACUCCUACGGGAGGCAGCAGUGGGGAAUAUUGGACAAUGGGCGCAAGCCUGAUCCAGCCAUGCCGCGUGAGUGAUGAAGGCCUUAGGGUUGUAAAGCUCUUUCACCGAUGAAGAUAAUGACGGUAGUCGGAGAAGAAGCCCCGGCUAACUUCGUGCCAGCCGCCGCCGUAAUAC